AUUGAACGCUGGCGGCAGGCCUAACACAUGCAAGUCGAGCGGAGCGGCGGACGCGUGAGUAAUGCCUAGGCAUCUGCCAGGUAGCGGUGGAUAACGUCCGGCAACGGGCGCUAAUACCGCAUACUAUCACCUGAGUCUAGGUCGGAUUCGCUAGUUGGUGGGGUAAAGGCCUACCAAGGCGACGAUCCGUAACUGGUCUGAGAGGAUGAUUAGUCACACGGGAACUGAGACACGGUCCAGACUCCUACGGGAGGCAGCAGUGGGGAAUAUUGGACAAUGGGCGAAAGCCUGAUCCAGCCAUGCCGCGUGUGGGAAGAAGGUCUUCGGAUUGUAAAGCACGUUAAGUUGGGAGGCGUUACCAACAGAAUAAGCACCGGCUAACUUCGUGCCAGCAGCCGCGGUAAUUC
rnacentral:rRNA from 1 species